rnacentral:rRNA from 1 species
AUUGAACGCUGGCGGCAUGCCUUACACAUGCAAGUCGAACGGUAGAGUAGCAAUACUCGAGAGUGGCGAACGGGUGAGUAACAUAUCGGAACGUGCCCAAUCGUGGGGGAUAACGUAGAGAAAUUUACGCUAAUACCGCAUACGAUCUAAGGAUGAAAGCGGGGGAUCGCAAGACCUCGCGCGAUUGGAGCGGCUGAUAUCAGAUUAGGUUGUUGGUGAGGUAAAAGCUCACCAAGCCGACGAUCUGUAGCUGGUUUGAGAGAACGACCAGCCACACUGGGACUGAGACACGGCCCAGACUCCUACGGGAGGCAGCAGUGGGGAAUUUUGGACAAUGGGCGCAAGCCUGAUCCAGCAAUGCCGCGUGCAGGAU